UACGGGAGGCAGCAGUGGGGAAUUUUGGACAAUGGGCGCAAGCGUGAUCCAGCAAUGCCGCGUGAGUGAAGAAGGCCUUCGGGUUGUAAAGCUUUUUUGUUCGGGAAGAAAUGCUUUUGGUUAAUAUCCAGGGGUAAUGACGGUACCGGAAGAAUAAGCACGGGCAAAUUACGUGCCAGCAGCCGCGGUAAUAGGUAGGGGGCGAGCUUUUUUGGGAAUUUUUGGGGGUAAAGCGUGUGCGGGCGGUUGUUCAUGAGAGAUGUGAAAUCCCCGGGCUCAACCGGGGAAUUGCUUUUGUGAUUGCAAUGCUAGAGUGUGUGAGAGGGGGGUAGAUUUCCACGUGUAGCAGUGAAAUGUGUAGAUAUGUGGAGGAAAACCGAGGGAGAGGGCAGCCCCUGGGGAUAACAGAGACGCUCAUGCGAGAGAGCGUGGGGAGAAAACGGGAUAAUAUACCCGUGGUUCCACCCCCUAAACGAAUGAACUUGUGUGGGUUUAAUCAUCGGUGACGCAGCUAACGCGUAAGUAUCCGCUGGAGAGU
rnacentral:rRNA from 1 species